AGCCGCUGUGCAUUUUCCACCAGGAGCUCUUCAGAGGACUUGCUUCUUGCCAAGGAGGCCUUUACUCUUGGGAGUUGACAGGAGGAAAGCAGUUAACAUUAUACCAGAUUCUUGGAGGAUAAAAAACAUUAAAAGGAGUAUCCAAAAGAAGGAAUUAUAUUCCCCCUUCCAAGCCCUCCCUUUGGGUCUCGAGAAAGAAGACAGCAACUUCCCUUCAAAGCCAUUUCCCACCUGGAGAUGAUGCGGAGCUGGCUGCUCAUUGUCUGAAUCUGCUCUACCAUGUACAGAAGCUCCUGGGAACAUCUUUGGUCUACACAGUUCUUAGCAAUGAUGCGGAUAAGUCUGGCGAAGUUUUGUCCGGAAGUCGCAAUUUUCCUGGCAGAGUGAGAAAAACAGCAGCUUCUGCCAACCAGAAGUGGGCGAGACCAUGUUAUUCUUCUUUGGACCCUAAAUGAGGCCUCCGCUAAGCCUUUUCCAGACUCUGGAAUCGAGACCAGGUGUACUGCCCUUGAAGGUAAACCCAAUAACAAAGUGUCAAGAGUGGCCUUGAUCAUCUCUUGGCCUCACGCACCAGAUCCUGAGCUCCUGGGGGUAGGGCCUGUGCCCUGGGUGCAGGUGGGAAGGAGAACAUGGGUGGGAGGAACCUCUGGGCCUUCCUACACCCUGACUUCUCCCCCAAGACCCCAACGUAGCAUACUGAUGUCUCAGAAGGGUCAUAACGUAGCUGUUGGAAGUAUGAGUGUGAUAGCAAAUUCUAUCUAAAUUGGGAGAUAUAAGUUCACGAUCCUGUUUGGUCUGAGGCUAUAUAUGUAGCAAAUAUUUCACCAGGAGAGGAAUGGAAAUCAAAGGAUAACUGCUCCAGGCAUGUGUCCCUUCCACCCCCACCUUGUUGGCCACUGUCCAGUCUUUGUCAUGCUUCACUCACUGCCGAGCACGCAGGAAGGGUGCUGGGCUAAAGAUGUGGAAUCAGGAGACCAAUGAUCCAAGGAAGGGGUUGGAUGAAUCACAUCAUUUGGCUGUAGCUCUAGAGCUCAGGUGGGUGUUUAAGCGAGCGGUUGCCAAGUGACAGACAAGGGGACGGGACGUAUGUGAGUCUGGGACCAGGAGACCGUGGAGGCUGGGAUCUAAGUGAGCUGCCCUGGGGUGUGGGUGCUCCACAUCGUGGUGCUUGGCCCCAAGCUUGGCCCAGGAGCAAGCAGAGGCCACAGCCGCCAAGCGUGUGGGGAAAGCCCUGAUCAUGUGGGUCUGACUCAGAAGUUGUCCAGAUGCCGAGAACAGCAACCAGCCAGGUGGGUGGCUGGAGGUGGAACAGGGCAUCCAUAGUGAAGGCUUAACUGCAGGCUGUUUUCCUCUCCAGCCAUAAAGUAUUCACUUCCAUGUUGGGAGCACAUCUGAGCACAGGUAUGCGCCCCCCGGGCUCGUAGCCACUUGCAAACCAAGUUCACUUCAGAGCUCCUAUUGCCUGCAAUGUCCUUCCUCUCUUCCCUGGCAAAUACAAAUCCCAAACUGCCUCUGAAGCUCAACUCAAGACCACCCUCCUCUCAGGAGACAUCUAGAAUAUCUGCUUUAUCCCUCCCAUUACCAUUUUGCCCCAAAUUUGUACCCCUUCUGCCCUUCUAGGCUGCCUUUAGCAUCCCAGCAAGCAAUCUAAAUCACUUACCAUGCACCUGCGAUGCCCCAGACACCGUGCUUGUCCUGAAGGAUCUAAAGAUGAGUAAAAUGAAGUCCUUGAACUUCAGCGGCUGAGAGUUUAGACUUUCUGUGCUAGUGCAUAUUGAGAAGUCACCUGGCUUUUUUUGUAUUAUGUCUGCAAUUAAAUAAUCCCCCACCUUCUGAAAACUGUUUGUUGGCCUCGUUUUAGACAGGUUGGGAUGCCCCCUGACUGCUGGGAGGGGCAAGUCGGAGCCUUUUCUGGCGAAGGACCAACACACUGAGGGCCAGCAGGCUGCCCAGACGGGGCCCGGGAUUAUAUGACGUGAAGAGAAAGGUGAGAACUCAACUGAGACUAAGACUCAACCAUAGUGACUAAAAAGGGUGAAAAUGGCAAAUGUGGGAUUUGGUGGGCCUUGAGCCAAGGGAUAGGCAACUAGGAAAUAUUCUUUUCAACUCAUGCCUCGUAUUCAACUGUCGGGGACCUUCAACAUCCAAAGCUAGCAGUGUCUCCAGGCUCUUCAGUAAUGAAGGAGGCUAGGACUCUGCUGGAGAGCCCAUAACUGGAAUAAAGAAUUUCCAGAUAGUGACUUACAAGUGCCCAAAAGAUGCACCUUCCCAAGGCCAUGCCCUCCCUCAGGGGCUCACAGUUUGAGGUGCUGUUCUGGGCUGUGUGGAGGGUGUCUCCACCCUCCCAGGAGCCCCAGGGAGUGGGACAGUGGAGCAGACACACACCAUGGAUGGUGAUUCUCCCCUCUCCAAUUGCCCUCCCACCCGGGAGUAGCCCAGCAGGACCACUGUCCCCACUGUCCCCUUCUAUGCACUGGAAUUAUGUGUAUGAAGGAGAAUGCUUCCCAGGGAUAGGAACCUUGGAAUGUGAGGCCUUGCUCUCCACCCAGAGGAAAGCAGCCUGCAACAGGAGAGGUGACACCCCUUCGCGGACAGGAGGGGUGAUGGGGGCUGAAUGAGCCUGCUCUUCUCACCAUUCCGGGUGCCAGCUGACCUGGGCAGUCAGUUCUCUGAAAUGCUCGUGUCGGGAGCUUUUGCUGAGAAAGGGACUGUGUCAGCUGAACUGAGAGAGAAACAGAAUGUGUUGUCAGGGAAGUCAGCGGCAUUAAGUAUGUGUCAGAAAGACCCUGUGGAAAAACAGAUCGGGGGAGCUGGCAGGAUGUCCGAACUCAUGAGACCAGGAGCCACAGAACAGGAGAGAUGAGAAGACAGCGGGAGGCAGAGCAAAGAGGGCUUAGGCUGCAGGGGCAAGGGAACUGUGCCUGCCGGGCUCCCAGCGAAUCUGGGAACAGGGCCUUUCUCAUGGUAAUAACAUUUUAAUGAGAAAGAUGAAGUAAAGGGUAAUGGGGCGGAGAAACACAUUGUCUGGUCCACUUUAUCUUGGGAGAAAGCCCAGGGAAAGGUUUGGGGGGGAAGUCUGGGCAGCCAAGCAUAAGGUCACGAAGGGGACAGAUCAGGUUAUGCACAAAACGCUGGGCUGAGCACAUCUACCUGGGAACUUCUUGGGCGGUCACUGCCAACCUAUUAUAUCUCCCACGGUCGAUGUUAAGUAAAUCAAAUGUUUGGGCUCCACAAUCCCUGACAUUGGCUGGUGCCCCAGAAGGAAACGACUAUACGUGGAAGGUGUUCAACAGACCCAGAAGCCUUCCGGUAGAUCUUUCUUUUUGCCUACGAGGAUUCAAGUUGGACUCCGGCCACUUGCAAACCAAAGAAACCCUGACUGGAGCAGGGAGGUAACAUCGUGGAGGUCAAGGUGGCAUGAAGUAGCCGGAUCCACAGGAGGAGUGCUGUCAGUCACAGCAAGGGGAACCCCCUCCAGAUGGGGCCGUGGGAAAAACUUCAGGGAAGUCAAUCAUUACAGGCCCUACCACAGCGUACUAAUUAUGUUCCAGGCAAGUGCAAGUAUUUUCCAUGGAUGCUUUCAUCAACCCUCUGCCAGGAAGGUAUCAAUGUUCCCAUUUUCUAGACUAGGAUCUUAAAGUCCAAAAUAGCUAAGAAACUUCUCUGAGGUCUCAGAACUUGGAAAUGGUAGAGGCAGACACAGUGCAGGCAGUGUGGUUCCUGACCUUGGAUUCUCAAAGGGUGCCCUGUGCUGCCUGCCAGAUAUGAAUGACACACGUGGGCACCAAGAGAGCUUUUUCUGGAACUUGACGGGGGGCUUUGGUGACCAGAAAGAAGGCUAAGGUGGGGGAGAAGGAGGGAUGCUGACUUUCCUACCGUGCCCAGGUCUGCGGCUGUCCCGGUGAUGCCUGGAUCCAGAGUGCGGGUCCCCACUGAGCUCCCUGCGGUGUCUCUUGGAGCAGCACGCUGAGAAUCUACACUGCUGGCU